rnacentral:rRNA from 1 species
UCGAACGGUUUUCGAAGUUCGAGGUUGGAUGUUCGAAGUUCGAUAAAAAAGUAAGUCAUUAUUUCGAACCUCGAAUCUCGAACCUCAAACUUCGAGAAUAGUGGCGGACGGGUGAGUAACGCGUGGAUAAUCUGCCUGUAAGACAGGAAUAACGCCGGGAAACCGGUGCUAAUACCGGAUAACCUCUUUUUAUCGCAUGGUGAAAAGAGAAAAGGCGGCCUCUUAACAAAGCUGCCGCUUACAGAUGAAUCCGCGUCCCAUUAGCCAGUUGGUGGGGUAACGGCCCACCAAAGCGACGAUGGGUAGCCGGCCUGAGAGGGUGACCGGCCACACUGGAACUGAGACACGGUCCAGACUCCUUCGGGAGGCAGCAGUGGGGAAUCUUCCGCAAUGGGCGAAAGCCUGACGGAGCAACGCCGCGUGAGCGAAGAAGGUCUUCGGAUUGUAAAGCUCUGUGAUAUUGGACGAACAGAUUUCUUGUAAAUAGCAAGGAAAAAUGACGGUACAAUAAGAGGGAGCCACGGCUAACUACGUGCCAGCAGCCGCGGUAAUACGUAGGUGGCAAACGUUGUCCGGAAUUACUGGGCGUAAAGGGCGAGUAGGUGGUUUAUUAAGUCAGAAGUGAAAACUCCGGGCUCAACCUGGAGACUGCUUCUGAAACUGGUAGACUUGAGUGCAGGAGAGGGAAGCGGAAUUCCUAGUGUAGCGGUGAAAUGCGUAGAUAUUA